rnacentral:sRNA from 1 species
UGGGAAGGUGGGGCCCCAUUGGGUUGUG